UACGUAGGGCGCAAGCGUUAUCCGGAAUUAUUGGGCGUAAAGAGCUCGUAGGCGGCUUGUUGCGUCGACUGUGAAAACCCGUGGCUCAACCAUGUGGUCUGCAGUCGAUACGGGCAGGCUAGAAUUCGGUAGGGGAGACUGGAAUUCCUGGUGUAGCGGUGAAAUGCGCAGAUAUCAGGAGGAACACCGAUGGCGAAGGCAGGUCUCUGGGCCGAUAUUGACGCUGAGGAGCGAAAGCGUGGGGAGCGAACAGG
rnacentral:rRNA from 1 species